UGGGGAAUAUUGCACAAUGGGCGAAAGCCUGAUGCAGCAACGCCGCGUGAGCGAUGAAGGCCUUCGGGUCGUAAAGCUCUGUCCUCAAGGAAGAUAAUGACGGUACUUGAGGAGGAAGCCCCGGCUAACUACGUGCCAGCAGCCGCGGUAAUACGUAGGGGGCUAGCGUUAUCCGGAAUUACUGGGCGUAAAGGGUGCGUAGGUGGUUUCUUAAGUCAGAGGUGAAAGGCUACGGCUCAACCGUAGUAAGCCUUUGAAACUGAGAAACUUGAGUGCAGGAGAGGAGAGUGGAAUUCCUAGUGUAGCGGUGAAAUGCGUAGAUAUUAGGAGGAACACCAGUUGCGAAGGCGGCUCUCUGGACUGUAACUGACACUGAGGCACGAAAGCGUGGGGAGCAAACA
rnacentral:rRNA from 1 species